UACCGGCGGCCCGAGUGGCGGCCGUGUUUAUUGGGCCUAAAGGGUCCGUAGCCGGCCCCGUAAGUCUCCCGGGAAAUCGGGCGGCUCAACCGUCCGCUUCCGGGAGAUACUGCGGGGCUAGGGACCGGGAGAGGCCGGGGGUACUCCCGGGGUAGGGGUAAAAUCCUAUAAUCCCGGGGGGACCACCUGUGGCGAAGGCGCCCGGCUGGAACGGGUCCGACGGUGAGGGACGAAGGCCGGGGGAGCAAACCGG
rnacentral:rRNA from 1 species